rnacentral:sRNA from 1 species
UCUAAAGGUUGUUCUUAUGUGUUUUUUUGUGAUGUAAUUGGAACAUGCUGGAAAAUGAGGAAUUAUUCCUAAAUGAGAAUGGAAGAUCCUAAAGACUCUAGAGAUGGAGAGAGUUCUCUCAGAUAGGCUGUCAUGACACUUUAGAACUCUCUACCCCACCAAGCAAGCCUUUCUCCGUGACCAAAACAUCGGGGAAAGGGUGAGCCACAGAUGCCAUUUCCUGAUUCAGGGAAAGCACCUGAGAUCUUGGAGAGGAGCUGUCCUAGAACACAGUCUCAUUUCUUGCUGCUUGUUUUUAUUAUACUUACAGUGGCCGAGUUGCAAAGGAAGUCAUGGAGUCAAGUGCUAAGAUCAAACGGGAGCCACCGGAAAUACACAGAGCAGGGAUGGCUCCCAGCCGGAGCUGUCCCUCCAUAACCCAUGGCCCAAGGCUGAGCAGCGUCCCCAGGACCCGCAGAAGAGCUGUUCACAUCUCCAUCAUGGAAGGCCUAGAGUCCCUACGGGACAGUGCCCAUUCCACGCCAGUGCGUUCCACUUCCCAUGGGGACACCUUCCUGCCUCACGUGAGAAGCAGCCGGACAGAUAGCAA